rnacentral:lncRNA from 1 species
AGUUCAUGUAGAACCAGCGCAAAUCGUAUCUGCUCUGAAUCUUCCACUAAGUAACAAAGAUAACCGAAUGAACUGUACGCAAGAACACAACUCUAUUAUUUUUCAGUGUUCUACAAUUAAAAGUAAUAAAAUGCACCCCCUACCAUCAGUAACAUUUACCAGAGCACAACUUUGACCACAAUAGGACUAAAGGCUCAACUUAUAUAGCAGCUGCUGGCUUCUUCUUCGAUGGUGGAUUCCCCCUGGCAAGCAACACAUACGAGUAGAAGCAGAUCAUCAAGGCAUUGGCGACAAGGGAAGUUGUAAGGAGGAAAGAAGUGUGCAAUGAGCAGCUGAAACACGAUAAAGAGACAAUCGAGAACUACCUGAGAGCAGUAUAGAAGCCCCAGGGAAGCAGCUUCUUUGUU